rnacentral:rRNA from 1 species
AGAGUUUGAUCCUGGCUCAGGACGAACGCUGGCGGCGUGCCUAAUACAUGCAAGUCGAACGCACUGACGGAGAACUUGUUCUCUUGACGUGAGUGGCGCACGGGUGAGUAACACGUGGGAAACCUACCCUUCAGCGGGGGAUAACCAUCGGAAACGAUGACUAAUACCGCAUAGACGACAGAACCGCCUGGUUCAAUCGGGAAAGACGGCUUCGGCUGUCACUGAAGGAUGGUCCCGCGCUGCAUUAGCUAGUUGGUCAGGUAACGGCUUACCAAGGCGAUGAUGCAUAGCCGACCUGAGAGGGUGAUCGGCCACAUUGGGACUGAGACACGGCCCGAACUCCUACGGGAGGCAGCAGUAGGGAAUCUUCCGCAAUGGACGCAAGUCUGACGGAGCAACGCCGCGUGUGUGAAGAAGGUUUUCGGAUCGUAAAGCACUGUUAUUAGAGAAGAACAGCCGAUAGAGUAACUGUUAUCGGUUUGACGGUAUCUAACCAGAAAGUGACGGCUAACUACGUGCCAGCAGCCGCGGUAAUACGUAGGUCACAAGCGUUGUCCGGAUUUAUUGGGCGUAAAGGGAGCGCAGGCGGUUUGUUAAGUCUGAUGUGAAAGCCCACGGCUCAACCGUGGAACGGCAUUGGAAACUGGCAAACUUGAGUAUAGAAGAGGAAAGUGGAAUUCCAUGUGUAGCGGUGAAAUGCGUAGAUAUAUGGAGGAACACCAGUGGCGAAGGCGACUUUCUGGUCUAUAACUGACGCUGAGGCUCGAAAGCGUGGGGAGCGAACAGGAUUAGAUACCCUGGUAGUCC